UGCAAGUCGAGCGAUGAAACUUUAACAGAACCCUUCGGGGCGAAGAUAAAGUGGAUUAGCGGCGGACGGGUGAGUAACACGUGAGUAACCUGCCUUAGACAUUGGGAUAGCCUCGGGAAACCGGGAUUAAUACCAAAUAAAAUCAUAAUGACACAUGUCAUAACGAUCAAAACUCCGGUGGUCUAAGAUGGACUCGCGUCCCAUUAGCUAGUUGGUAGAGUAAAAGCCUACCAAGGCGACGAUGGGUAGCCGGCCUGAGAGGGUGAACGGCCACAUUGGAACUGAGAAACGGUCCAAACUCCUACGGGAGGCAGCAGUGGGGAAUAUUGCACAAUGGAGGGAACUCUGAUGCAGCGACGCCGCGUGAACGAAGAAGGCUUUCGAGUCGUAAAGUUCUUUUAUAUGGGAAGAUAAUGACGGUACCAUAAGAAAAAGCCCCGGCUAACUACGUGCCAGCAGCCGCGGUAAUACGUAGGGGGCUAGCGUUGUCCGGAAUCACUGGGCGUAAAGGGUUCGCAGGCGGAAAUGCAAGUCAGAUGUAAAAGGCAGUAGCUUAACUACUGUAAGCAUUCGAAACUGCAUAUCUUGAGAAGAGUAGAGGUAAGUGGAAUUUUUAGUGUAGCGGUGAAAUGCGUAGAUAUUAAAAAGAAUACCGGUGGCGAAGGCGACUUACUGGGCUCAUUCUGACGCUGAGGAACGAAAGCGUG
rnacentral:rRNA from 2 species